CUUCGCAGUUCUGGUGGAAGUUGCGCAACAUGCAUUGAAGAAUUUGAUUUAGCUUGGUGUUGAAGCUCCAUCAUUUCUUCCUUGCUGUACUUUAUUCUUUCAUCUCAGAUUUCAGCAAGUCUACUUGGGCCAGCCGAACUUUUUGCCACUUUUGCUUUUACCUGUUGAGGUUGUCUAGAGGACUUGUGAAGAUGCGAAGUACCACCAUAAUUUGCCUGAAGUUCCUGUAUAAGCUCAUGUCUCACUUCAAUCACAGGGUGACACGUACAGAAUGCUGAAAUUGCAUCUCCUGUUAAGAUCCAACAGCCGCUUAAAUCCAACAUACGCAGCGUGGCAGGGGGAACAAACUUUCUAAGCCCAGUGGUGGACAAUAUAUUCCCACAGAACCCAAGAUGUAUCAAAUUUGAGGCAGAAGACAGUGCAUGCAAGGCAGGAUCAGACAAGAAAUCACUUUUUAGGAACAAAUAUUUCAGUGCUCUAAGGGAUGCUAAGGGAGGUAUAACAUCAUCCAUCAGCUGUGUAUUAUUCAAAUUUAGGCUUUCCAGGUAUUUGAGUUCUUCAAGCGCAGAGAGAGACAGUACACUGAUAUUAUCAUAUAAAAUGCUGGGCAAGAGAAUCACAACCUUUGAUACAUGUGCGACUCAGGUUUAAAAUUCUCAGUGAAGGCAUCAUGCUUAUGUAUAAUAAAGCAGAAUCAUCAAUUUUUGUAUGAGCUAAAGACAGUGUUGUCAGACUUGGAACUGUUCCUGCCAGAACACACAGUGCUUGAGAAGUUACUUCAGAAUUACUCAGGCUCAAAAACUUAAGGUUCAUUCCAAUAUUUGCAAUAUAUUCAAUUGCAUCGCUAAUUAUUCUGCUGUAGCUAAGGUCCAAGUGCUCUAGAUUCCUCAUAUUUCCCAAGAAAUACAAGUUGCUUGAAGAGCAACUUGACAUAUCCAAGUAUGUCAGUGAACUUG
rnacentral:sRNA from 1 species